CUAAAAUCUAUCAACAAUGUCAUUCCAAACAAACGAACAAAGAAAAAUAACAUUAUAAAAUUUAGAUCUUUUGCUGUGGGCAAGUAUGAAACUUACGAAUUUCUAAAAUAUACGACUAUCAAAUGAUUAUAAAAUCCUUAUGAGAAAAAAGAGAUACGAGUUCAUGGCUCCAACCAAUCAGUAUUCAUUCAAUAUUGAUAUUGUCAUAUUUGAUGAUGUCGACUUCAAUUGAUUUCAACGGAAUCACCAAGAAACCACCUCGAUCGAUCUCAAAACUAUAGAGACGUUUAUUAAACUAACUCCUAAUUGAUGAAGAUGCGGGGGGCCAUAUAAAUAAAGGAAUGAGGCUUAAAAAACAAUUAGCUCGCUAAGAGAUCAAUAACGACGGCCAUACUCUGAUAAAAAAUAAAAAAUAAAAAAUUGAUGACUUUAGAAAACAUUCAAUCCCAAGAGAUCCAAUAAAUUGUUUGUUAUUUGUCCAGCUACUCCAAUUUUUCUUUAUUGAGAUCCCAUAAGCAAUUGAUUUCUAAACUCACUGUCACCGUAGGAGUCCUAUAUAAAGGGGAUUCAAGGAGGUAAUUACAAUCAGUGUUCUAAAAUACGUGUAUAUGCUCGAAACUUUUUUGA
rnacentral:lncRNA from 1 species